CUGUAGCAGUGGAAUUUUAAUUUGGGUGUCCACCAUCUUGGGAUUCCUGCUGGUCGUGAUGACAUCUGCUUUGACGUAUGUGGUGUGUAGGCUGAAGUCUAAAGUGAGACAGCAGUCAGAACAAUUGGAAAGCGUCAAGGAUUCAAGGAGACAUUGCUUGGAAUCUGAGAUUCCACCAACCAAGAAAGAUCUGGAAGGUGAAUAUCAGUCGCUGUCCCACAAGGACCAGGCCUUAUAUGAAGUGUGUGACCGCUCCCAAAGAACAAGAAGGAAAUGAAGAAUGAAGGAGACGAUAUGAAGAAGAACCGAUAAAAGGGGAAGAAGGCUGUUUGAGCAAAACUGAAAUGCAUUUUAAUUUUUACAGUUUCACAUCCUUUCAAAACAAACUUAUAAGAGCGGACCACCACCACCUCCACUCACUGA